GCAUGGACAUGAGGGCCCCCGCUCAGCUCCUGGGACUCCUGCUGCUCUGGCUCCCUGUGACAUCCAGAUGACCCAGUCUCCAUCCUCCCUGUCUGCAUCUGUAGGAGACAGAGUCACCAUCACUUGCCGGGCGAGUCAGGGCAUUAGCAAUUAUUUAGCCUGGUAUCAGCAGAAACCAGGGAAAGUUCCUAAGCUCCUGAUCUAUGCUGCAUCCGCUUUGCAAUCAGGGGGUCCCAUCUCGGUUCAGUGGCAGUGGAUCUGGGACAGAUUUCACUCUCACCAUCAGCAGCCUGCAGCCUGAAGAUGUUGCAACUUAUUACUGUCAAAAGUAUAAC
rnacentral:lncRNA from 1 species